GAUCAAGCUACUAAGGGCACAUGAUGGAUGCCUGGGCACAGUAGAGCGAAGAAGGACGUGGCAAGCUGCGAGAAGCUGCGGGGAGGUGCAAGCGACCCUAGAUCCGCAGAUUUCCGAAUGGGGCAACCCGGCGUCGGUAAUGCGGCGUCACCGAGCACUCAACUUUGAGCAUAGUUGAAGUUUGUAGUUUAAAGCACCUGGCUGAUUUGAAAGCUGCAGAUGCUGAGAAGUAUGCUUGAAGUUGAGUGUUCGGGGCCAACCCGGAGAAGUGAAACAUCUAAGUAUCCGGAGGAAAAGAAAGCGAAAAGCGAUUCUCUGAGUAGCGGCGAGCGAAAGGGGAAUAGCCUAAACCUGUCUGCAUGUAUAAGACCGUAGUCGUUGUGCAGGGGGGGUAGUGGGAAGUUGACGGGGUGUGCUACGGAGCACUCGGAGAGUGAUAAAGACUGUUGAUAGCCGAAUUAUGCUGGAAAGCUAAACCACAGAGGGUGACAGUCCCGUAGGCGAAAUUGGCAGUUCUCUCUGGUCAACAUUCCCGAGUACUGCGGGGCACGAGCAACCCUGUAGGAAUCCGUGCCGACCACGGCAUAAGGCUAAAUAUGCUACUGUGACCGAUAGUGGACCAGUACCGUGAGGGAAAGGUGAAAAGCACCCCGGAAGGGGAGUGAAAGAGUACCUGAAACCAUGUGCCUACAAUCAGUCGGAGUCCUGACAAGUUUGUCGGGAUGACGGCGUGCCUUUUGCAUAAUGAGCCAGCGAGUUGUGGUAGGCAGCGUUAGGUUAAGUCUUUCAGAGACGCAGCCGCAGCGAAAGCGAGUCUUAAGAGGGCGAAUUAGUUGCCUGCUGCAGACGCGAAGCCGGGUGAUCUACCCAUGGCCAGGAUGAAGCCCCGGUAAAACGGGGUGGAGGUCCGCACCCACUGAUGUUGAAAAAUCAGGGGAUGAGUUGUGGGUAGGGGUGAAAGGCCAAUCAAACCCGGAGAUAGCUCGUUCUCCCCGAAAUAUAUUUAGGUAUAGCCUUGAGUAAGAGUGUCACGGAGGUAGAGCACUAAUAGGGCUAGGGCCCGUAAGGGUACCACCCCCUGUUAAACUCCGAAUGCCGUUGACAUGUUGCUUGGGAGUCAGGCUACGUGGGAUAAGCUUCGUAGCCGAGAGGGGAACAACCCAGACCGUCAGCUAAGGUCCCCAAGUAUAGGCUAAGUGAAGAAGGAGGUGGAAGGGCCUAGACAACCAAGAGGUUGGCUUAGAAGCAGCCAUCCUUUAAAGAGUGCGUAAUAGCUCACUGGUCGAGCCCUUCCGCGCCGAAAAUGGUCGGGACUAAGCCUAUCGCCGAAGCUACGGAUUCAAGGAACUUGUUCCUUGAAUGGUAGGGGAGCAUUCUGUUGACCGGAGAAGGUAAGCUGUGAGGCUUGCUGGAGGAGACAGAAGAGCGGAUGCUGGCAUAAGUAGCGAUAAACAGGGUGAGAAUCCCUGUCACCGGAAGUCUAAGGUUUCCUGAGUAAAGUUCGUCUGCUCAGGGUUAGUCGGGACCUAAGGUGAGGCCGAGAGGCGUAGCCGAUGGGAAACGGGUUAAAUAUUCCCGUACCACCUAUACUAGCGUUUGAGCUUAAGGGGUGACGCAGGAGUGAAGGUCAGCCCCGAGUUGGAAUUCGGGGUUUAAGCAAGUAGGCGGGACUGGCAGGCAAAUCCGCUGGUUCGUUACCGCCGAGAUGCGAAUAGGGUGCCCGUAAGGGCCACAACUGAUCGUAAUCUGACUGCCAGGAAAACCCUCGUAAGUGAGUUAGUUAGGUGCCCGUACCGGAAACCGACACAGGUAGACAAGGAGAGAAUCCUCAGGUGCGCGAGUGAGCUCUCGUUAAGGAACUCGGCAAAUUAGCCCCGUAACUUCGGGAAAAGGGGUGCCCUUAUUAGGUGAAGCUCUUAACGGGCGGAGCCGAAGGGGGUUGCAGUGAAAUGGCCCAGGCGACUGUUUACUAAAAACACAGGACUCUGCUAACUCGUAAGAGGACGUAUAGGGUCUGACGCCUGCCCGGUGCCGGAAGGUUAAGGGGAUGCGUUCGUUUUUCUGUUUCGGCAGGAGAGCAAAGCGUUGAACCGAAGCCCCGGUAAACGGCGGCCGUAACUAUAACGGUCCUAAGGUAGCGAAAUUCCUUGUCGGGUAAGUUCCGACCUGCACGAAUGGCGUAACGACUUGGGCACUGUCUCGACGAGAGGCUCGGCGAAAUUGAGAUGUCGGUGAAGACGCCGACUACCCGCAACGGGACGGAAAGACCCCGUGAACCUUUACUACAGCUUGAUAUUGGGUCUUAGCUAAGCAUGUGUAGGAUAGGUGGGAGGCAUUGAAGCUGUCACGCCAGUGGCGGUGGAGCCAUCCUUGAAAUACCACCCUUGCUUAGUUGGGGUUCUAACCUGUGGUAGUGAUCCUGCCAGGGGACAGUGUCAGGUGGGUAGUUUGACUGGGGCGGUCGCCUCCUAAAAGGUAACGGAGGCGCCCAAAGGUACCCUCAGCACGGUCGGUAAUCGUGCGUAGAGUGUAAAGGCAUAAGGGGGCUUGACUGCGAGACAUACAGGUCGAGCAGGUGCGAAAGCAGGGCUUAGUGAUCCGGCGGUUCCGCAUGGAAGGGCCGACCUCGAUGUCGGCUCAUCCUAUCCUGGGGCUGGAGAAGGUCCCAAGGGUUUGGCUGUUCGC
rnacentral:rRNA from 2 species